UACAGAGGUCUCAAGCGUUGUUCGGAUUCAUUGGGCGUAAAGGGUGCGUAGGUGGCGCUGUAAGUCGGGUGUGAAAUUUCGGAGCUUAACUCCGAAACUGCAUUCGAUACUGCGGUGCUUGAGGACUGGAGAGGAGACUGGAAUUCAUGGUGUAGCAGUGAAAUGCGCAGAUAUCAGGAGGAACACCGGUGGCGAAGGCGGGUCUCUGGGCCGUAACUGACGCUGAGGAGCGAAAGCGUGGGGAGCGAACAGG
rnacentral:rRNA from 1 species